ensembl:lncRNA
GACCAAAGAAAUAGCUAUAAACAGCAAGUAAAGACCUGUAACUGUCAUCAGUAGUGGAGUACUUGAUAGGAAAGUCACUCUUGCUCCUGGUACAAAAUAUGAGGUGUGAUUAAAAAAUGUGGUGUGUGUCCAGACUUAAAAAAUCAUUACAGCAAAAAACACAUUGCCAUUAAUCCCCUCUCAAAAUACUCCGCUUUGCUUCCAACACAUGUACCCUAUCAUUCUUGCCAUUUCUGAAGCAGUUCUGGAAUUUCUCUUUCAUUAGUGUCUUGAAUCAAUUGAAAACAUUUACCUUUCCUUGUAAUUAUGACUGGACAAUAGCCAGAAGUGGCACUUUGCCAGAUCUGGUGAAUAAGGCAGAUGAGAAGACACCCUAAUGUUUUUACCAGCCUGCCUUUCUGUUAGAUGCACCACUUGCUUUAUUUUUUAUCACACCUCAUAAAGACACAAAAAACUUCCAGAACUAUUUUAGAAAGUGACAAGAACAAUGGGGUAAGUGUUCAAGAUGAGCAUUUUGAGAGGAAUAAUGGUAAUGUGUCUUUUACUAUAAAACAGUUUUUACAAUUUCAACAUUCACUAUGUAAUUGGCAGGAAAACCCUGAAGGUGUGUCUUAGGGAAAGAAUUGAUGUAAAGUUUAGAUUGAGCAGCAAGUAGAUUCUCUGGUGUGGAGCAACAGCAAAGAGGACUUCUUGAAGAGCUGACUGCUCACUUCCAGCCAGAGGGAGGGUUCCAUGUACCUAGAAAGGGCCUCCCUCUACCACUGCCGUCACCACACUGCCUUGCCAUGAGUACACUUGUGUGAACUUUGCAGAGGAUGAAGGCCAGCCACGAUCAGCUCUGGAGAGCAUCAGAUGGUCCCAAGUCCUUAGAAACCACACCAGUGUGCCCCUCAGACUCCCCAGGUGGGGUCCAAGAGGUGACAAUGCAGAUCUUACAGACCCUUUGCUCCUUUCAAUUACUGGCUCCUAGGAAAAGAAAUUCCAUUUUUUGAGUGUCUGUGGAUUUUGUGUUCAAAACUGUGAAGCCACCAACCCAGUUCUACUGCCGGCAGUUCCAGAAUGCUGCUAACCACAAGAAAAGAAAGUUCAGGGAGUUGGAGGGGUUUGGUUUAACACCUGGUUAGAGCCAAAAGGGGAUAACUGUGUUUAUUUAUGACCCACAGGAGGGAAAAGGAUAAGAGACAUGACAAAACCAAGGAAUGCAUGGGUUUUUCACCUGUAACCUCCAAAUUAAUCCAAAGUAGAGACCACCAUGAGAGUCUCAGAGCAGCCCAGCUUUCAGAAGCGCAAAUGAAAAAUAAUGAGCCCCCUUGGCAUCCAAGUAAGUACCCAUUGGCUGCUGAACUGUUGCCAAGUUAUUAAAGAACAGAAUUAAGGGUCAGACUUCCAGGGUCCUGGCUUUCAAUACCCAUCGAUCCAGCUGCAAAGCACUGGUGGUGGGUGUUGGAUUGUGUCAGCGUCUCCUCCAGUCCUCCCGUGAGCCUGUGAAAUCCAGGAGGGGCUCACAGUGGUGGCAUUUCAGCAGAUGCUCUAGACCAGUGAUGGCUAUAAACACAUCUGCAGAUAGAGAUUCCAGACCCUGGCAAAAUAUCCUCUACUACUGUGUACAAAAUAAAUUGGGCCUUGGUGGCUAGGGUUCUGCCCCUCUUCCCACAGCUUUAAUCAUUGAUGGCAAACUGAGUGGAUCUAGCUGAAUCCCAAUUUAGCUGGAAUAAUUAAAUACAGCAGUUGUGUCCUCCCCUAUGGUCUGAAUGGACACUUUUUGGAACCCCAUAUGGGCUGGGGCUCAGCAGACAGCAGGCACAACUUGCAGGCCCCUUCUGCACAGGUGUAGACUUCCAGGGAUGGGCAGUCUAUAUCCUUUUAAAUGAAAUAACUGAAAGCUCAAAUAGCACUGCUCAUAAGAAGAGGUGAGCACUCCUGUAACGGCACAGAUGGCAGCAACUCCUCCUUGAUCCUUUGUUCUGUUGCUUGUGAAGUAUCUGAAGGCCAGCAUUUCAUUCUGAUGGCUGUGAGAAGGGGCAGCAUUACAGACUGUCCUGAGGAGGACUCAGCGUAAUUCCAUCUUGAAAAGAACUCUGAAACAAACUUUUCCUCCCUAAUUUAGUAAGUUCUAUCCUUCCAAAGCAGGAGCCUCUUAAGUGGUUUGUCCUAAAUGAAAAAAUGAACUAAGCCUGCCUAUCCUGAUUGUCUACUGUCUUGUUUAAGGAAUACUCCCGGAGUGAUGCUGAUUUUCAAAUGUGGAAUUGUAUUGCUUAACUAUUAUCCAACAAUAUAGUCAUAAAAGGACAGAUUCUGUAAGAAUCUCACUUUCACUUUGCAAAGCACUGCACCUUUAAUUCUGCCUUAUGAGUAUGUCAUAUUAUUAGAUUUGGUCAUCACAUUUGUGUGUUUAUGAACUCACCUUUUAUUAAUAAAA